CUCUUAAUUUUUUCAUUGUUAUUCUAGGAUUUAUAUCUUUAGUAACUUGUUAACGAAAUGAAGAUCUGGUUCGCAGACGCGAUUCGUUAACCUUAAACUAAAUAAUUAAUUCACCCAUGUGAUGCCCUUAAUAGCGCCUAAUUGAUUUAAGUAGUAAUCCCACUCUCCAUCUCUAUAUAAACCCUAGUGUAUGUCCUUAUGUUAAACCACACAACAACAGGAGCAAGAACAACAAAUUAAACAAAAAGAGAAUAAUGACAAAGUCAUCCAUUCUUGUUGCACUUCUCUGCAUCUGCUUCAUUCUCCUUUCUCCAACUGGUUUAAAACUAGCGGAAGCAAAGAUAUGUGAAAAGUACAGUCAAACGUGGUCGGGAAGGUGCACGAAGACGAGCCACUGCGACCGCCAGUGUAUCAAUUGGGAAGACGCUCGCCAUGGAGCAUGCCAUCAGGACAAACACGGCCGCGCUUGUUUCUGUUAUUUCAACUGCAAGAAGUAAGCGUUUUGGGCGUUUAAAACUUUUUUAUUUAUUUCGCGUUUAAAACUUCCUUUGUAAAACUUUCUAGCUAUUUAAUUAAGCAUUGUUUAUGUUGUAUUGUUUCAUCGGAAUAAUAAGUUAUGAAUCUAUUAUAUGCUGUUAUGAAUCUUGAUAUGUUGUUUGUAUCCGUAGCUCAGAUAUGUCUGUGUCAUGGUGUUUCGAAUUAAUGACCGAAUAGUGUGACAUUUGCAUGUUAUAAUAUUUUUGUCUGAGUAACCAGGGGCGGACGUACGUUACGACUAACGAGGUCAGGUGCCCCUUACUAAAUCUUGAUUUUCUUUAAGCAAUUGUAUUACAACAAGCUCAAUUUCUAUAAAGGUGUCCCCUACUAACUUAAACCUUAGCUUGAUGCCCCCGACUAAUGCCUCUUCUAGAUCCGCCCCUGGGAGUAACAAAAAAAGUCUGUACAUAUACUAAUAAAUCUGUGGAAGAAGCCUUUGUUAAAAAAGUUUCCACACCACGUCUAGGAUUCAAUUUCCUAAGAAUUAUAAUUUUUUACUGAUUAUAGAAUGUAAGAUUUAUCGGAAGUUCCAGAGUUUGAAAAAGAAAAUACUCAGUAAUCUAAAUGCAUAUUACGAUCUGAAGGCGUAUCAAUUAUCAAACUUAUGGCGCCUCUAGGAUCUAAUGAUAAAAUGAGUAUAUAUAAUAUUGUGCCUGAUUUAUUUCCAUAGCUAUGCAUUUUAGCAAGAGAGUUUGUGUAUAGUAUUUUGAAAAUAUGAAACUUGACAUUUGGUGAGAUGGAUCAAAAUUUGACAGAAAUAAUAUUUUGUGCAUAGUAUUUUGAAAAUAUGAAACUUGACAGAAGUUUUUACUGCCAAAUUAAUCAAAAUUUGAGUGCUAAAGUUUCUGCGAAUACAAAAUGAACUGUAAACACUUUUUGUUUAAUUUGAAUUCUUGAGUCUAAAGUUUCUUUGCUUUGUGUAACAUUAUCCUUAUGUAUAUUUUGGACCAUCCUAAUCACAUAUAUUUAAUGAAUCCACAUAUUGAAGACAGUGGUUUUGUCAGGGCUUCUCUACAAACUAAAUAAUUCAUCUCCUGAGAGGUAAAACAGAAAACAAAAUCUGAGAUCAAGAAGAUGAUCAGUGCUAAAAGUAAUUAAACUAUAACAUGUUCAAAACACGGCAGAUAUGCAUGCCUAGUGGCGGAGCAAACAAACUAAAGCUGAGAUUUUUUCGAGCUCUAGUGUCGUCGUCGUAGUUGAAGAAUAUAAUAUAUUUUACGUCUCAAGCUUAACUGUUUCCAUAUAUUAAAGGUGGUCUCCCAUGAGUCUGAUCCACCUUGGACCUCUACCUGGAUAUGAAGAAACGCAGUGUUCUUAUGACCCCCACGCAUUUCUUAGCCAUUUUUAGUUUUAUAUUCUCUGAUGUAUAUUUGCUUACCGUGAACAAACCAUCAAACAUUUCAAGAAACAAAACACUUAAAAAUAAAAUUAUCCAGACAUCAUCAUUCUUCUCUACACAAAAGGGUUAUAACUAAACUAAGAGAGGUAAAAAGCCGUAGAGAGAAGUUUCCUAAAACAAACGAAACAUAAAGCCGACCAUACCUAUUGACAUUCCAUAACCGGACAAUGCUCCUUCAGAGCAUUCAAAACAAAA